rfam:Lacinutrix sp. 5H-3-7-4, complete genome.
AACGCUAGUGCGUUAAGAAAAUGAACUCAAUUUUAAAUCAUACUUGGUGGUGGACUUCUCGAAAAACGAUUCGUGAAUAAACUCCUACGUAUAUUUAUUUUAAAUAUUAAAAAGGCUUGUC